UACAGAGGUCCCAAGCGUUGUUCGGAUUCAUUGGGCGUAAAGGGUGCGUAGGCGGCAGGGUAAGUUGGAUGUGAAAUCCUGGGGCUUAACCUCAGAAUUGCAUUCAAUACUGCCUUGCUAGAGAGCUGUAGAGGAGACUGGAAUUUACGGUGUAGCAGUGAAAUGCGUAGAUAUCGUAAGGAAGGCCAGUGGCGAAAGCGAGUCUCUGGGCAGCAUCUGACGCUGAGGCACGAAGGCCAGGGGAGCAAACGGG
rnacentral:rRNA from 1 species